rnacentral:rRNA from 1 species
GUGGGGAAUUUUGCGCAAUGGAGGAAACUCUGACGCAGCAACGCCGCGUGGGUGAUGAAGGUCUUCGGAUUGUAAAACCCUGUCGUCGGGGACGAAGGUGGGGGGGUUAAUAGCCUCUUUGCUUGACGGUACCCGGAGAGGAAGCCCCGGCUAACUCUGUGCCAGCAGCCGCGGUAAUACAGAGGGGGCAAGCGUUAUUCGGAAUUAUUGGGCGUAAAGGGCGCGUAGGCGGUGAUUCAAGUUGGAUGUGUAAUCCCCGGGCUCAACCUGGGAACUGCAUCCAAGACUGGAUUGCUAGAGUGCUGGAGAGGGUGGUGGAAUUCCUCGUGUAGCGGUGAAAUGCGUAGAGAUGAGGAGGAACACCAGUGGCGAAGGCGGCCACCUGGACAGUAACUGACGCUGAGGCGCGAAAGUGUGGGGAGCAAACAGGAUUAGAAACCCCUGUAGUCC